GGAGAGGUGGCCGAGUGGUUUAAGGCGCACGCCUGGAAAGCGUGUUGGGCGCAAGCUCUCGAGGGUUCGAAUCCCUUCCUCUCCUCCA
rnacentral:tRNA from 1 species